AGUGAACGCUGGCGGUAGGCCUAACACAUGCAAGUCGAACGGCAGCACAGUAAGAGCCUGCUCUUACGGGUGGCGAGUGGCGGACGGGUGAGGAAUACAUCGGAAUCUACUUUUUCGUGGGGGAUAACGUAGGGAAACUUACGCUAAUACCGCAUACGACCUACGGGUGAAAGCAGGGGAUCUUCGGACCUUGCGCGAUUGAAUGAGCCGAUGUCGGAUUAGCUAGUUGGCGGGGUAAAGGCCCACCAAGGCGACGAUCCGUAGCUGGUCUGAGAGGAUGAUCAGCCACACUGGAACUGAGACACGGUCCAGACUCCUACGGGAGGCAGCAGUGAGGAAUAUUGGACAAUGGGCGCAAGCCUGGUCCAGCCAUACCGCGUGGGUGAAGAAGGCCUUCGGGUUGUAAAGCCCUUUUGUUGGGAAAGAAAAGCAGCAGGUUAAUACCCCGCUGUUCUGACGGUACCCAAAGAAUAAGCACCGGCUAACUUCGUG
rnacentral:rRNA from 1 species